rnacentral:rRNA from 1 species
UACGUAGGUGGCAAGCGUUGUCCGGAUUUACUGGGCGUAAAGAGCGCGCAGGCGGUCGUUCAAGUCGCGUGUGAAAGCCCCCAGCUCAACUGGGGAAGUGCCUCUGAUACUGCCGGCCUCGAGGGAGGUAGGGGCGCGCGGAACUUCCGGUGGAGCGGUGAAAUGCGUAGAUAUCAGGAGGAACACCGGUGGCGAAGGCGGAUCUCUGGGCCAUUACUGACGCUGAGGCGCGAAAGCUGGGGGAGCAAACGGG